rnacentral:rRNA from 1 species
UACGAAGGGUGCAAGCGUUACUCGGAAUUACUGGGCGUAAAGCGUGCGUAGGUGGUUCGUUAAGUCUGUCGUGAAAGCCCCGGGCUCAACCUGGGAAUGGCGAUGGAUACUGGCGGGCUAGAGUGUGGUAGGGGAGAUCGGAAUUCCUGGUGUAGCGGUGAAAUGCGCAGAUAUCAGGAGGAACACCGGUGGCGAAGGCGGAUCUCUGGGCCAUUACUGACGCUGAGGCGCGAAAGCGUGGGGAGCAAACAGG